rnacentral:rRNA from 1 species
GAUGAACGCUGGCGGCGUGCCUAAUACAUGCAAGUCGAGCGAACAGACGAGGAGCUUGCUCCUCUGACGUUAGCGGCGGACGGGUGAGUAACACGUGGAUAACCUACCUAUAAGACUGGGAUAACUUCGGGAAACCGGAGCUAAUACCGGAUAAUAUAUUGAACCGCAUGGUUCAAUAGUGAAAGACGGUUUUGCUGUCACUUAUAGAUGGAUCCGCGCCGCAUUAGCUAGUUGGUAAGGUAACGGCUUACCAAGGCAACGAUGCGUAGCCGACCUGAGAGGGUGAUCGGCCACACUGGAACUGAGACACGGUCCAGACUCCUACGGGAGGCAGCAGUAGGGAAUCUUACGCAAUGGGCGAAAGCCUGACGGAGCAACGCCGCGUGAGUGAUGAAGGUCUUCGGAUCGUAAAACUCUGUUAUUAGGGAAGAACAAAUGUGUAAGUAACUAUGCACGUCUUGACGGUACCUAAACAGAAAGCCACGGCUAACUACGUG